AUUGAACGCUGGCGGCAGGCCUAACACAUGCAAGUCGAACGAGUGGCGGACGGGUGAGUAAUGUCUGGGAAUCUGCCUUAUGGAGGGGGAUAACUACUGGAAACGGUAGCUAAUACCGCCUACCAUCGGAUGUGCCCAGGUGGGAUUAGCUAGUUGGUGGGGUAAAGGCUCACCAAGGCGACGAUCCCUAGCUGGUCUGAGAGGAUGACCAGCAACACUGGGACUGAGACAGGGCCCAGACUCCUACGGGAGGCAGAAGUGGGGAAUAUUGGACAAUGGGGGCAACCCUGACGAAGCCAUGCCGCGUGUAGGAAGAAGGCCUUCGGGUUGUAAAGUACUUUCGGUAGCGAGGCGUUAACUACAGAAGAAGCACCGGCUAACUCCGUGCCAGCAGCCGAGGUAAUAC
rnacentral:rRNA from 1 species